UACGUAGGGUCCAAGCGUUAAUCGGAAUUACUGGGCGUAAAGCGUGCGUAGGCGGUUUGCUAAGACAGGUGUGAAAUCCCCGGGCUUAACCUGGGAACUGCGCUUGUAACUGGCAGGCUAGAGUGCGGCAGAGGGGGGUGGAAUUCCAGGUGUAGCAGUGAAAUGCGUAGAGAUCUGGAGGAACACCGAUGGCGAAGGCAGCCCCCUGGGUUAGCACUGACGCUCAUACACGAAAGCGUGGGGAGCAAACAGG
rnacentral:rRNA from 1 species